GCCCCGCCUCCCCCCGUUCCUUUGCCGAGCCCGCCUCCCUUGCCACUUUCGCCGCGCGUCGGGGACGCAUACUGCAUCUUCGCCAUCCUCCUCGCGUCGUGGAUGCACACGUCGUCGUCAACAUCCUCCACGCGUCGGGGAAGGUGCGGCCGCCGUUGUUCCUCCGCGCGACCUGAGAUGCCGAGGCCGCCGUUCUUCCUCCGCACAGCCAGGGACGACGCAAACACUGACGCCCCCGUCCUCAACUACAUCAGUUCAGCAGAGAGAUUUGCAGGUGUAGUGUAGUGAUAUAAGUACUUACUACAUGAGGGGAAAAGAACUUGCCAGACAACGCAGUGAAAUAAAUGCAGGAUUCUUCUACUCCAACACUGAACAAGGAGAAAGUAUGGUUUCUUCCGAGAGACGUCAAGUUGAUGAACAUGUCAAUAAGAUCAUUGAAUUGAAAAUAAGGUAUUUUUCUUAGUGUGUCCCCUGCUCUCUAUCUCUCUCUCUCUCGGAAAAGAUUGUGCUCGCACGUUUCUACGACAUGCAGUUUCUUUCAGGAAGUUACAACACUUUGGUGGUGAUCAACCAGAAAACUAUUGGUCCUCCAUCCAUCGGUCUCCUAGCUAGAGUAGGGGUAACUAAUUCUGACUUCUUACUACAAGAUUGUUCUAUUUCACUUACAUUUAACAUUGUGAUCUGUUUGGGGUUCCAGUUUAGUUCAGAAUGUGGGUCGUGAUGUCACUAGCUAAACUUGGAACAUGAAAUUAAGUUCUUUGACAUUAUAAAUAAUGCUACUCUAUAAGCCAUAAAACAGCCAGUUAAGUUUAAGACAAAACCCAUGUAGAAACCAGACUUCCUAUGGUGGCUCGGUCUGGCAGGCUCAUCUUUCCCAGCCGCUAAUGAAUUAUUAUUUUUAUAUGUCCUUUCUUGUAUAUAAUUACGGUGCGCUUGUCUAUACUACUUAGAUCCUGCAUCCCUUCAAGGUCAAGUCAGGGCCUCCGGGUUGGCGUCAUGAUGAGCAGAAGUGGAUUAGAUAGUUCGUAGUUCUCCUGCCCCCUGUGUUUCUUAGUUCAUUAUGCAUGUGUUCUUUCUAUGCAUGAGUUGACAUCUCCAGCUGUCCCAAAUCUGAUGAUGGUUUUUUUCUUGUGUUGUUGCUUCUGCAGGUUCUUAGAAUUUUAGUCAUGGAUCAGGAAAUUCUAACCUGUGACUUGGUGAAUCUAAAUCACGAAAAUAAAUUGACGAUGCAUGGCUGAGAUGUUGACUGCAUGGUUAAGAAUGGGGCUACUACAAGAUAAUAAGAAUGCCAUUUCAGGAUCAAAAAAAUUAGAAUGACAUUUUUAGGAUCAAUGUUUCAAACAUUAUAGUUGAUUGCAAGGUCAAGAAUUGGGCUACUAAUAGAUUGUUUCACCUCCUGUAAUCUUUGGAUCAUGUCAUUUGUAA